rnacentral:rRNA from 1 species
CACCGCCGACGACCGGCGCACGGGUGCGCAACGCGUAUACAAUCUACCUUAUGCUGAGGGAUAGCCCAGAGAAAUUUGGAUUAAGACCUCAUGGUAUCGGAAGACGGCAUCGUUUUCUGAUUAAAGGUUACGGCAUAAGAUGAGUAUGCGUCCCAUUAGCUAGUUGGUGUGGUAACGGCACACCAAGGCAACGAUGGGUAGGGGUCCUGAGAGGGAGAUCCCCCACACUGGUACUGAGACACGGACCAGACUCCUACGGGAGGCAGCAGUGAGGAAUAUUGGACAAUGGACGAAAGUCUGAUCCAGCCAUGCCGCGUGCAGGAAGACGGUCCUAUGGAUUGUAAACUGCUUUUAUACGGGAAGAAUAAGGGCUACGUGUAGCCCGGUGACGGUACCGUAAGAAUAAGGAUCGGCUAACUCCGUGCCAGCAGCCGCGGUAAUACGGAGGAUCCAAGCGUUAUCCGGAAUCAUUGGGUUUAAAGGGUCCGUAGGCGGACUAUUAAGUCAGGGGUGAAAGUCUGCAGCUCAACUGUAGAAUUGCCUUUGAUACUGGUAGUCUUGAGUUAUGGUGAAGUGGCUAGAAUAUGUAGUGUAGCGGUGAAAUGCAUAGAUAUUACAUAGAAUACCGAUUGCGAAGGCAGGUCACUAACCAUACACUGACGCUGAUGGACGAAAGCGUGGGGAGCGAACAGGAUUAGAUACCCUGGUAGUCCACGCCGUAAACGAUGGAUACUAGCUGUUCGGACUUCGGUCUGAGCGGCCAAGCGAAAGUGAUAAGUAU